rnacentral:rRNA from 1 species
AGCGAACGCUGGCGGCAGGCCUAAUACAUGCAAGUCGAACGGAUCCUUCGGGAUUAGUGGCGGACGGGUGAGUAACACGUGGGAACGUGCCCUUUGGUUCGGAACAACUCAGGGAAACUUGAGCUAAUACCGGAUAAGCCCUUGGGGAAAGAUUUAUACGCCAUUGGAGCGGCCCGCGUCUGAUUAGCUAGUUGGUGGGUAAAGGCCUACCAAGGCGACGAUCAGUAGCUGGUCUGAGAGGAGGUCAGCCAC